rnacentral:lncRNA from 1 species
AGGGCCUCAUCUACCCUGGUCUUGAACACCUCCAGAGAUGGGGCAUCCACAACCUCUCUGGGAAACCUGUUCCAGUGCCUCACCAUCAACUGGGUGAAAAAUUUCCUUCUAACCACUAAUCUAAAACUCCCUUCUUUUAGUUUAAAACCAUUCCACCUCCUCCUGUCAAUAUCUGAUUGAGCAGAGAUGCUCUCCAUCUUUUUUUAUAUGCCUCCUUCAAGUAUUGAAAGGCUGUAAUGAUGUUCAUUUCCUUCAAUUUCCUUCAAUUCCUUAUCCACUGAAUGUCCCACCCAUCAAACCCAUCUCUCUCCAAUUUGGAGGCCAGGAUGUCAUGUGGGACCAUAUCAAAGGCCUUGUAGAAGUCCAGGUAGAUGACAUCGGUUGGUUUUCGUCUGUCAACUGAUGCAGUCACUCCACCAUAGAAAGCCACCAGUUGGUCAGGCAUGAUUUGCCCUUGGUAAAGCCAUGCUGGCUGUCUCGGAUCACCUCCUUGUCUUGCAUGCGACUUGACAUUGCUUCCAGGAGGAUCUUUUCCAUGAUCUUGCCAGGCACAGAGGUGAGGCUCACUUGUCUGUAGUUCCCCAGGGCCCCCUUUCUACCUUUUCAAAUGGGAGCGGUGUUUCCCUUUUUCCAGUAUUUCCAGCAUUAAACUUCAAGCACUGUCAGAUAAAAGCAAUAGGAAUCCCACAUUAGGAGUGAAGCCCUUCUCUAGAUCUCUUUAUUUCCUUUUCUUUUCUGGUUAUUAUUUACCAAUUAAAAAAAAAAAAAAAAAAAAGGCAAGAAAUUGCUAUUUCCAGACUGUACCCGUGACCUGAUGCAAGAUCUUAGAAGAUGAUCACAAAAGGUUGUGGAAGCUCAUGUAAGGCCAUAGAAGGCUACACCAACCUUGCUUCUCUCCAUUUGCAGGAACCUCUGAAAGAAGCUGCCCUGCCCAGAGCCAGGUGUACCUGCUUGAUUACAGAGCAAUUAAUGAGACGCUGCAGGACCCAUCACUGCCCUUUUCCACUUCUCAUAGGCCAGGACAGACCCUGGGUCCUUUCUGCUGCUUCCCAGAGCUGUCAGUCACUCGGGUCCCUCCCCAGCUCACUUCCCCAUCCAGCAUAUAAAGGCAGGGAGCAGGGGGGCAGCAUGGUGUGGUGCCUGGUUCCUUCUUGCUGGUUAUCUGCUUACCUUCAACAGGGGGGAAAAAGCUAUCCUCCUUGUUUUGGGACAGCAGGACCUUAUCUUCUUAACAUACUCCCUGCUGCUAUGCUACUGUUGUGCCUGCACAAUCACUUCUGAAUGUACAAGGUUAGUGGAAUUUUCCACUGCAAAAACACCUUCUAUUGCAAAAACAACUUUGUUUCUGUGAGACUCAUUCUGGGAUCUGCCCUUAAUGGACACUAAAAAAAAAAGUCUCCUGAUUUAUGUUAGGAAGGGGAGCUCCUCUGGAGGCUCGCUAGUGGUUUGGUUGCAUUUCUCCUAAACCA